ensembl:misc_RNA Metazoa_SRP Metazoan signal recognition particle RNA
GCUGGGUGUGGUGGCGCACGCCUGUAAUCCCAGCUACUCGGGAGGCUGAGGCAGAAGAAUCGCUUGAACCCAGGAGGCGGAGGUUGCAGUGAGCUGAGAUCUCACCAUUGCACUCCAGCUGGGGCAACAGAGCGAGACUCUGUCUCAA